GGUCUGCAGCACGCGCCU
rnacentral:snRNA from 1 species